rnacentral:rRNA from 1 species
GUCGGGAGUUAGGAAAUGCAAGGAUGUUAAUAGCAUCUUUGCUUGACUAAGGCUCCGGAGGAAGCCACGGCUAACUCUGUGCCAGCAGCCGCGGUAAUACGGAGGCGGCAAGCGUUGUUCGGAAUUAUUGGGCGUAAAGAGCACGUAGGCGGCCGUGUAAGUCGGUUGUGAAAGCCUUCCGCUCAACGGGAGAACGGCAUCCGAUACUGCAUGGCUCGAGUGCGGGAGGGGAGAGUGGAACUUCUGG